rnacentral:rRNA from 1 species
AGAGCGAACGCUGGCGGCAGGCCUAAUACAUGCAAGUCGAGCGGCCCUUCGGGGUAGCGGCGGACGGGUGAGUAACGCGUGGGAACGUGCCCUUUGGUACGGAACAACUGAGGGAAACUUCAGCUAAUACCGUAUGUGCCCUUCGGGGGAAAGAUUUAUCGCCAUUGGAGCGGCCCGCGUUAGAUUAGCUAGUUGGUGGGGUAAAGGCCUACCAAGGCAAACGAUCUAUAGCUGGUCUGAGAGGAUGAUCAGCCACACUGGGACUGAGACACGGCCCAGACUCCUACGGGAGGCAGCAGUAGGGAAUCUUGCGCAAUGGGCGAAAGCCUGACGCAGCCAUGCCG